UUUAAAUGGAGGAGUGUUCACAGGUCAACGGUUUACAUUCCUUCCGUUAUAGCCCAGCCGCCCUCGGAUUCUGCCCUUUUAAGGUGUGCUGGAGUCAGAGCAGAUCCCUACCAGCUGCAACUCGUUCCAUAAUCAAGACCUCUACAAAUACUCAGUCCUGCCACUUCCACUCUGCCAGAUUGUAAUCUCUGCUCAUUACCGCUCUGUCUCUGGCUCCUAUUCCACAUCUCACCACCCAACUACCUUGCUCUGGAUUUUACUCACCACCACUACCUUCCAUUCCCCUCAGGACCUGUUUACCCUGUUCACCUCAGCUAACUCCAACCUCAGUCUCCACAUCUGUUUUUUCUGCAACUCAUCUGAGCUUCUGCAUAGUAAAGUACAGAACAGAUACCCAUGUAAACUACUUAAGUAGUACUUUAAAGUAUUUUUAUUUAAGUACUUCACACCACUGUGAGGAACAUGAACUCAUCCAAAGAUAGAACAUCACCAAUGUCAAGUUGAAUGAUCAGUGAAUACUUCACAGAGGUAUACAUUUUCGACCUCCUCCAACAUGGUUCUUCAUCUCUUGGAGUCGAUGGUCCUCCCUCCCAGUCAUCAGUGAGG